UACGUAGGGUGCAAGCGUUGUCCGGAAUUAUUGGGCGUAAAGAGCUCGUAGGCGGUCUGUCGCGUCUGCUGUGAAAAUCCAGGGCUCAACCCUGGACCUGCAGUGGGUACGGGCAGACUAGAGUGCGGUAGGGGAGAUCGGAAUUCCUGGUGUAGCGGUGAAAUGCGCAGAUAAUCAGGAGGAACACCGGUGGCGAAGGCGGGUCUCUGGGCCGUAACUGACGCUGGAGGAGCGAAAGCGUGGGGAGCAAACAGG
rnacentral:rRNA from 1 species